rnacentral:rRNA from 1 species
GAUGUAGAGCGAAACUGAAAAAAUAAGUCUCAGUUCGGAUUGAAGGCUGAAAUUCGCCUUCAUGAAGCCGGAAUUGCUAGUAAUGGCAGGUCAGCAUACUGCCGUGAAUACGUUCCCGGGCCUUGUACACACCGCCCGUCACACCAUGAGAGUUGGGAAUACCCGAAGCCUGUGAGCUAACUAUAUGAGGCAGCAGUCGAAGGUAGAAUCAAUGAUUGGGGUGAAGUCGUAACAAGGUAAC